rnacentral:rRNA from 1 species
AUGAGCACAAAGAUGAAGAAGGGGAUCCUGAGGCCCUUCCGCUACUUCUCAAACAUAAUGGAUGCUAAGGAACAAGAAUUGCAAAUUGGUUUCCCAACGGAUGUGAAACAUGUGGCGCAUAUCGGAUGGGAUGGACCUAGUGUCCCAAACAAGGAGAAGGAGGCAGGAGCACCUAGUUGGAUGAAAGACUACCACUCAGCACCACUGGAUUCAGCCUCGUUUAGGAGUGACAGGGGAGGUUCUGCUGCUUCUAACCCAUGGGCUUCUCAAGAAAUAGUUCUAGAUGGAGCGGGCCUGGGAGAUACCUCUUUUGGGGAUACUAAAAGUGAAGCCGGUGGAAUCGAUGUCACUGUUGGUGACUCCCCUCCAUCCCCGGGCUCCCGCCGGUCAAGGCGAAACCGCUCCCGGGGUUCUGACACCUCCUCUAUGGAUGUCACAACAGGAAGUACUGAGAUCUUGGAGAAGAAGGAGAAGGCCAAGAAAGGCACCCGAAAGAAUAGAAAGAAAGAUAAGGACAAGGCAGCUGAGGACAGUGCCGGUUCCACCUGUCAGGACCUCCCCGCGGUGCCCAAGAAGUCCAACCGCAGAAAAAACAAAGGUAGCUCCGAAGGAAGUGGCGGUGCAUCGACCAAGGAUGGUGGAGGUGCACCAGAGGUGGGCACAAUACCGCUAACUCUGGUGGCCGAUGAAGAAAAGGAUCACGAAUUGUAA